AAUUUCCGCGAAUUGAGGAUACCUCUUCAGUUUGAUCAAGCAUUUCAACGAUGUAAAACUUAAUUUGAUUUUCCUCCUCCUUUUUCAUCCACACCACUCCAUGGAGCAACCGGAAGAUUAAUGCAGAGACAGCAUGAUGAGAGUUCAGUUAAACAAGAGGAAGAAAAGAAAAGUUAACAAGGCACACAAAUUGAACAAACAAAAGCACUUUGCUAUAAAAGAUGGGAAAAUGCCAAACUCUUUGCAUUUCUUGUACAUUCCUUUCAAAUUUCAACAUGGAAAUUGUGACAAGCACAUUAGGAAUGAGUUGGCUUUACAGGGACAAUCCUGAUUCCUCAUCCUCCUGCAAGGUGGAAGUGUAAAUAAUGUAGAAAGCCCAGAUCAGACCAAACACACCCAACAAGAUCCAACCAAGAAGGUUGUUACUCAAACCAAAGGGAAGUCCUGUU
rnacentral:misc_RNA from 1 species